rnacentral:rRNA from 1 species
UACGAAGGGGGCUAGCGUUGCUCGGAAUCACUGGGCGUAAAGCGCACGUAGGCGGGUCUUUAAGUCAGGGGUGAAAUCCUGGAGCUCAACUCCAGAACUGCCUUUGAUACUGAGGAUCUCGAGUCCGGGAGAGGUGAGUGGAACUCCGAGUGUAGAGGUGAAAUUCGUAGAUAUUCGGAAGAACACCAGUGGCGAAGGCGGACUCACUGGCCCGGUACUGACGCUGAGGUGCGGAAAGCGUGGGGAGCAAACAGG